rnacentral:rRNA from 1 species
GAGCUCAAAUUUAUAAUCUGGCACCUUCGGUGUCCGAGUUGUAAUCUCUAGAAGUGUUUUCCGCGUUGGACCGCACACAAGUCUGUUGGAAUACAGCGGCAUAGUGGUGAAACCCCCGUAUAUGGUGCGGACGCCCAGCGCUUUGUGAUACACUUUCAAUGAGUCGAGUUGUUUGGGAAUGCAGCUCAAAUUGGGUGGUAAAUUCCAUCUAAAGCUAAAUAUUGGCGAGAGACCGAUAGCGAACAAGUACCGUGAGGGAAAGAUGAAAAGCACUUUGGAAAGAGAGUUAACAGUACGUGAAAUUGUUGGAAGGGAAACGCUUGAAGUCAGACUUGCUUGCCGGAGCUUGCUUCGGUUUGCAGGCCAGCAUCAGUUUUCCGGGGUGGAUAAUGACGGUUUGAAGGUAGCAGUCUCGGCUGUGUUAUAGCUUUCCGUUGGAUACGCCCUGGGGGACUGAGGAACGCAGCGUGCUUUUUGCGAAAG